rnacentral:lncRNA from 1 species
GUCCCAUAAAUUAUGGCAUGUAAGAAUUAAGAGUUUUGGGAGAAGAAAUAAUGUUUGGUGCAAAACAUCUCAUGCAACGUCCCUAGUCUUCUACAAAGAAUAAAUGCUUCUAUAUGAAAAGAAUUGGGUGUGGAAGAGCCUUUAAGCAGAAGGACUCUUCCACUUCUGUGCUAACAAAUCUCCAAGAGCCAUCAGAUGGCGCGUGAAGUAAAGAGAAUGCAUGAAAUAAAGGAAGAAUUAAGAGUCCAAUAUGAAAUG